GCGCUUUUUCCUACAGAAGAAAUGUAUACACGUGCUGCACUGCAGUAGCCGGUGACCGGAAGUAACGUUCCACCCAGGAAGCGGCGAUUGAGAAGACCGAUGCGAAUGUUACCCGCUGCCGCCAGCCUCCACCACACCAAGGCGGCCAGGGCAGCUACUCUAUUGAAUGUUGAGGUUUUUGGGUACCUGAAAGAAAAUGGUUUGCUUCAUCCAUUAGCAAAUUUGCAAGAGGAAGCCAAUGUCUUGAAACACGGAGGACAGCUGUGUGGGUGACAUUAAAAGCGAGCAUCAGGAUCCAGUGCUGCAGACUAUUGUCUCCUAAGCUGCCGGACUCAAUGUUUAUUGACUUCGGUACACAGGGCAGAUACUCUAUUGAAUGUUGAGGUUUUUGGGUACCUGAAAGAAAAUGGUUUGCUUCAUCCAUUAGCAAAUUUGCAAGAGGAAGCCAAUGUCUUGAAACACGGAGGACAGCUGUGUGGGUGACAUUAAAAGCGAGCAUCAGGAUCCAGUGCUGCAGACUAUUGUGUCUCCGAAGCUGCCGGACUCAAUGUUUAUUGACU